GUCACUUUGCCGGAGUGGUUAACGGGAUCGCCUGCUAUACAGUAUUACUAGAGUGUAAUCUGUAGCUCAGCGGUUGGGCUUUGCCCGCGAGUGUUCGAAUCGCUCAGGUGACG